rnacentral:rRNA from 1 species
UACGGAGGAUGCGAGCGUUAUCCGGAUUUAUUGGGUUUAAAGGGUGCGUAGGCGGUCCGUUAAGUCAGCGGUAAAAUUGCGGGGCUCAACCCCGUCGAGCCGUUGAAACUGUCAGACUUGAGUUGGCGAGAAGUACGCUGAAUGCGCGGUGUAGCGGUGAAAUGCAUAGAUAUCGCGCAGAACUCCGAUUGCGAAGGCAGCGUACCGGCGCGCAACUGACGCUCAUGCACGAAAGCGUGGGUAUCGAACAGG